AUGAACGCUAGCUACAGGCUUAACACAUGCAAGUCGAGGGGCAGCAUGGUCUUAGCUUGCUAAGGCCGAUGGCGACCGGCGCACGGGUGAGUAACACGUAUCCAACCUGCCGUCUACUCUUGGACAGCCUUCUGAAAGGAAGAUUAAUACAAGAUGGCAUCAUGAGUCCGCAUGUUCACAUGAUUAAAGGUAUUCCGGUAGACGAUGGGGAUGCGUUCCAUUAGAUAGUAGGCGGGGUAACGGCCCACCUAGUCUUCGAUGGGUAGGGGUUCUGAGAGGAAGGUCCCCCACAUUGGAACUGAGACACGGUCCAAACUCCUACGGGAGGCAGCAGUGAGGAAUAUUGGUCAAUGGGCGAGAGCCUGAACCAGCCAAGUAGCGUGAAGGAUGACUGCCCUAUGGGUUGUAAACUUCUUUUAUAAAGGAAUAAAGUCGGGUAUGGAUACCCGUUUGCAUGUACUUUAUGAAUAAGGAUCGGCUAACUCCGUGCCAGCAGCCGCGGUAAUACGGAGGAUCCGAGCGUUAUCCGGAUUUAUUGGGUUUAAAGGGAGCGUAGAUGGAUGUUUAAGUCAGUUGUGAAAGUUUGCGGCUCAACCGUAAAAUUGCAGUUGAUACUGGAUAUCUUGAGUGCAGUUGAGGCAGGCGGAAUUCGUGGUGUAGCGGUGAAAUGCUUAGAUAUCACGAAGAACUCCGAUUGCGAAGGCAGCCUGCUAAGCUGCAACUGACAUUGAGGCUCGAAAGUGUGGGUAUCAAACAGGAUUAGAUACCCUGGUAGUCCACACGGUAAACGAUGAAUACUCGCUGUUUGCGAUAUACAGCAAGCGGCCAAGCGAAAGCGUUAAGUAUUCCACCUGGGGAGUACGCCGGCAACGGUGAAACUCAAAGGAAUUGACGGGGGCCCGCACAAGCGGAGGAACAUGUGGUUUAAUUCGAUGAUACGCGAGGAACCUUACCCGGGCUUAAAUUGCAGAUGAAUUACGGUGAAAGCCGUAAGCCGCAAGGCAUCUGUGAAGGUGCUGCAUGGUUGUCGUCAGCUCGUGCCGUGAGGUGUCGGCUUAAGUGCCAUAACGAGCGCAACCCUUGUUGUCAGUUACUAACAGGUUCCGCUGAGGACUCUGACAAGACUGCCAUCGUAAGAUGUGGGGAAGGUGGGGAUGACGUCAAAUCAGCACGGCCCUUACGUCCGGGGCUACACACGUGUUACAAUGGGGGGUACAGAGGGCCGCUACCACGCGAGUGGAUGCCAAUCCCCAAAACCUCUCUCAGUUCGGACUGGAGUCUGCAACCCGACUCCACGAAGCUGGAUUCGCUAGUAAUCGCGCAUCAGCCACGGCGCGGUGAAUACGUUCCCGGGCCUUGUACACACCGCCCGUCAAGCCAUGGGAGCCGGGGGUACCUGAAGUGCGUAACCGCGAGGAGCGCCCUAGGGUAAAACUGGUGACUGGGGCU
rnacentral:rRNA from 1 species